AUGUUGUCCUAGAGGUAUAUUGUGGACCUCUGGAAGUUUCGGAUUUGAAAUCUGAAUUGCAGAUCAUCCGGAUCGAACUACGUAGUGACGUGUCUUAUAUAAGUUAUGUAUUCUAUCGGCAGGAUUUCUGAGGUUGGGUUUGAUUAUUGUUCUAGGCGCUAAUCUUCAUGACGCCUUGAUGUGUGGUGCUAGGGAGUUGUUGAGCGAACUCCAGGUGAGUGGGCAGUUUUUUGUUUUCGUAUUACCUUUAUACUAUAAAUUUUUUCCCAGAAGAUGAAUUUAUACGAAAUUAUGUUUUGAAAAUGCCAUGCAUAGAAUUAUUUGGAAAAGGUGAAUUUCACAUGAGUUAUAUGAUUGAUAUAUGAUGCAUACAUGUUGCAUGGUGCUGUGGAGGCACAGGUAAGUCAGGUGAGUUCAUUAUUCAUUUAAUUGAUUGUUGAUAAGAUGUUUCAAGCUCAUAAACCUGCACCCUAGGUGUUAGUGCUUAUUUUAUUCACCACACCGCACGCUCGCCUUGGAUCCAAGUAGGUGGAUGUCGUACAGACCAUGUGAGGGUUCCGACAUGCUAGUCGUAUAGAUCACUAGGCGUGAUUCCGACUAGUGGGUGAUCUUAGUUAUGCGCGCUGAUGAUUGAUGAGAGAAGCACUAGAGCGUAUUUUUACACCUUUCAUCGUACAGACUACCUUACGUAGUUCCGAGUGAUGUGCAGAGUAGGGCCGUAUAGGUCACUGUGGUGACUCCGGCUUAGUGAGAUAUUGAGCUAUUGAAUUAAUCGUAUAGGACCAACUGCAGGGUCUCCGAUUGAUUCCUUAUUUCACCUGAUUUAUAUUUUGAUUUAUGGCAUGGCAUGUUUUUCUUGAAAAAUGUUAAAGAUUUGGGAUUCAAGUUUUGAGAUUUCAUAUGGUUAUAUAUAUAUAUUUUUCUGAAAAGUGUUAAAGGUUUGAGAUUUGAGAUUUUUGCUUAUAUAUAUGUUUAUAUAUAUGCUAUUUUCUGGGAAAGUAUACAGGUUUUACGGUGAGGGGUUAGAAAUAUUUUAAAUGAAAAGUUUUCGAAAAACUUUGUUUUACUGACCCACUCAAUUUUGUUUUGCGCCCCUCCAGGUUCAAGUUAGCAGAGCUUUGGUGGCCACGAGGAAUCCAACGGUGUUCUGACAGAAUUCACAAAAGUAGGACUCACCCUCGGGUGUGUCAUCUUAGUAAUUGGAAAUUUUUUUUAAAGCUUCUGAACUAUGUAAAUGGUUACGUCACUCUCACGUGACGGCCAGCACGCCCUCCUUCGGGACGGGGUGUGUCAGUUGGUAUCAGAGCCUAGGUUGCAAUUCUGGACAUCUUGAGAAUUUCCUAGUGUCUUCUGUCAGAACUAUACCGCCUCAUAGCGAGCCACGUAGUUCGGAUGAGCCUAAAUUCCCUGAUAUAGUAGUUUGGGGGGAAAUUAUUGUCACUAUGAUUCAGUCUAUUAUCUAAAGGAACCUUUGAGACUGAUUAUAAGUUAAAUUUGAAUACAGACUUGCCUUGUUUCCAUUCGGGAUGUUGUUACUAAUCCGGUCGAGGUGUUAUGUCGUUUUUGGCGGGAUAAUAAGAAGAAGUGACGUUCUUUGGCGACCACAAUCCAUUGUACUUUUUUACCAGGAGUUUACGAGAUGUUGUUGGGCUUUGAGGACUUUGAGAAUAUGAUCAGCGAGAGUAAAGAAGAAUAAGAAAAGAAUGGUAAUUAGAGGAAAGGUGAGAAAGUUAAAGAUCCGUCAUAUCAAGGACGUCGAAAGACUCAGAGCUUCAAAAGAAGUGAAGUUAGAACUAAUUCUUCCAACUGAGGUUUUAGUGCCACUGGUCCGAGGCGAAGUGAUAGAUUUACGGGUGAUCCCAGAUCUUAAAGACAAGGGGUGACUCGAGUAAGGGAAAUGUACCUUUGUGCCAUAGGUAUAAUAUUAGACACUUUGGAGAGUGUGGGAAUCAGUGAAUGUGUUCAUGUGGAUGGAUGGGACAUAGAGGUAUGAAUUGUCCCUGGAAUCAGUUGUUACCCAAUAGUCUUCCUUAACAUAUCACUUGGAAAUAUUGACGAGUAAGUCGUACAGGUCACUAUAUGUGACUCCGACUUAUGUGCUAGCAUGGAUGGUCGAGUUGUAGACUCAGUCGUACAGGUCAUUCUAGCUGACUCCGGCUGAUAUAUUUCUUAUUAUGGUCGAUGUUGCCAAAGAAAGUAAUGUUGGAGCACGAUCGAGGCGUAUUUAUGUAUUUCUAAGGAAGAACAAGAUGAUAAUAUUACACCCCUCAGGAAUUGUUACUUAGUUAUCGAGACAACAGUGAGUUAUUUGUAUUGCGGGCUGCAGACCGUAAUAUUUAUAACUUAUUUGUUGGAUUCGUUAAGUAAGUAAACAAGUAAGGCACUUUAUGUUGAUUUGGUUUAUUAAGGGUGUCCAGUGAUGGUGAAAAAUGUCAUGUCAGUGAAUUUUAUUCCGUUGGAUAUUAUGGAUUUUGAGGUGAUUUUUUUUGGCACCAGUGCGUGCAGUAUAAUUGUGUCAAGCUAGAUUGCUAUGGGGAAUCAGUUAAUUUUUGUUGACCUGGAUGACCAGAGGUUACUUUUAGGGGUAAGUAAAGUGGAGUGAGUUAUGCCAUUAUUCCUGUUGAGAGAGCAAAGAAGAUUGUUAUCAAAAGGCUGCCAAGAUAUUGAGUUCAUAUGGUGCUAAAUGAUGUUGAUCCUAAUAGUAUGGAAGAUGUAAAGAUGGUUAGACAUUUUCUUGGUGUAUUCCCAGAUGACUUACCUAGAUUGCCGCCAGGCAGAGAUGUGGGUUCCAUUAUUGAAUUGUUUUUAGGUACAAAUCCUAUGUUAGAAAUUGGUUCAGGUUGAGUUAAAAGUUCCAUUCAACUUAUUAUAUCACAUUGGAAAAGCUCCGGUUUAUUUGUGAGGAAGAAAGUGGACAUUAAGGCUAGGCAUUGAUAUUAGGUAAUUGAAUCGGGUAACGAUUGAGAGCUGUUAUCCAUUGUUGUGUAUUAAUGAUUAUUUGAUCAGCUCUGAGGCGCCUGGGUACUUUCUGAGACUGACUUGAGGUCUGAAUGAUAUUAGUUGAAGAUUAACAGUGGGGAUGUCCAUAAGACUGAAUCCAGGACUCGUUAUGGUCAUUUCAAGUUGGGAUGCCAUACGGAGUGACGAAUGCACCUACUAUUUUUAUGAGCUUACUGAAGGAAGUAUUCCAGUGAUAUCUAGAUCGGUUUGUUGUUGUUGCCAUUGACGAGAUUGAUAAGAUUAGAGCAGUGCAUGCUAGAUAUUUUAAAGUUGGGUGUUGCAAAGAUUGAAGGAACGUUGAUGUAUGCUAAGUUUAGCAAAUGCUAAUGUUGGAUAAAUUAAUUAUAUCUACUUAAGGUAUUCAAGUGGAUUCUUAAAAGAGUAGCAACGAUUGAGAAUUUGGAACAAUUGCGAACCGUGACUGAGGUUUAGAGUUUUCUCGGAUUAGCAGGAUAUUGUCGAUAGUUCGUCCAAGAUUUUAAUUAUUGCUUCGCCCUUGGCGAGAUUGAUGAGAAAAGAGGUUAAGUUUGAGUGGGAUGAAAAAUUGUGAGUAGAGCUUCAGCAAGUAAAGUAUUCCCUCACUCAUGCAUCUGUUUUCGCACUCCCAAACGAUAGUGGUAAUUACGUAGUCUAUAGUAAUACUUCUUUGAAUGUUCUUGAAUGCGCGUUGAUGCAACAUGGUAGGAUGAUUGCCUAUGCUUCAUGGCCAUUGGGAUCUCAUAAGAUGAAUUACCCUAAUUAUAAUUUGGAAUUAGCAGCUAUCAUCUUUGCUUUGAGAAUUUGGAGACAUUGUCUUUAUGGGAAGAAAAGUGCAUGAUUGUUACAAAUCAAAAGAGUACCCAAUAUCUGUUUAUUCAGAGGUAUCUUAAUCUUAGGCAACAAAGGUGGAAUGAGUUGCUUAGUGAUUAUGAUUGUGUGACGAGGGUGGUCAAGCUAAUGUUGUGGCUGAUGCAUUUAGUAGGAAGACCCCAGUGAGAAUUAAUGCUUGGUAUGCUUGCUAUGUUCAUCUUCUUGUGGAUUUGAAAUCUACUGGAGUAAAGUUGAGUAUCAAAAAUCGAGAAGAAGCCUUACUUGCUAAUUUCUAAGUUGGACCCAUUUGGUAGAUCGUACUCGAUACUCAAGCGUUUGACGAAGAAAUUCAAGAAUUUAUUUAAAGCAAGGAAUAACGGGAUAAAGAAGGACCUUAGAGUUAGAGAAUCAGAUGGCAAGCUUAUGCAAGGGAACAAAGUGUUUAUGCCUAAUGGUGUGGAAUUAAAUAAAGCAAUUUUGACGAUGUACAUUAUUCCACUUCUACAAUGCAUCCCAAAAGUACUAAGAUUUAUCAUACCAUUCGUUCAUGUACUAUUGACGGGUAUGAAAAGAGGAACGGCGAAGUAUGUUAGUAGGCGUAUCAUCAGUCAUCAGGUUAAAGCAGAAAGAAAUAAGUCUUUUGGAAUAAUGUAGUCAUUUCCCAUUCCACGGCGGAAAUGGGAGAAUAUUACUAUGGAUUUCAUGGACAAGCUUCCUCGUAUACCAAAUAGUUAGGUUGGAGUUUGAAUAAUAAUUGAUUGAUUUGUGACGUCAGCGCAUGUUACUUCAGUAUGAGAACAUCAACCUUUCCAGAUAAGCGCAACAGUCAUUUAUUUGUUUUAUGGAAAAAGGAGAUUGGGAUCUGUUAAACUUCUUGGGUAUGUUGGUUCCUUCAGUUUGUUCCCUAGAGUAACGCCAUAAGGCCGUGGAAAGCUAUGUCUUGUGUUUCGAAAUUGUUAGAAUUGGGGACGGAUGAUAUUCAAGACUCUGAGUUUGGUGAAAAUUUAUGGAGGAAUCUUUCAGUGGAAGAAAACUACUUGAAAGUCAAAGAAUCGAAUGAGAGAGAUGUGUGUUUCGGGCUGUUUCAUGGAUAUUGAUGGAUUGUAAAGAUUGUGUAAAUUUCGAGGACGAAAUUUCUGUAAGGUGGGUAGAUUGUGACAGCCCGUCCCUAAUUUUAAGAAUUUUUAAAGUUUUAAUAAAGGAUUUUACAAAAAUGCCCUUCGAGGCACGCACAUCAUUCGAGGUUAAUCGUUGUGUCGUGCCAUCUAAGAUUUGUUUUCUUGACAUAUCCUCGUAGUACUCGUCGUUACGGACGUGUGGGCGCAGACGGUUCGUGAUUUGGAGUUAUAUCGAAGAAGUUAUUAACGUUUGAAAUUUGGAAUUUUAAGGAAUUAUAAUUUUAGUAAAAUAUAGAAAUUCUUUUAUGAAAUUGGACGGCCCAGAUUUAUUGAUGAAUGAAAUGGAUGGCUGGGAUGAGGGAAAGGUUUUUGGUGUGUGUAUGUGUAUGAGAAGAAGAAACAGAAAACAGAAAAGAAGAAGAGACUGGGCAGAAAUGCCCAAUCGGAGAAGAAGAAGGUGAGAGCAAACCAGAAGAAGGGAGAGGAAGAAGCUGACCAAUCAGGGGACGGAAAGGAGGGAAAGGAGGGAAAGGAGGGAGAGUGGUGCGCGGGGGAACAGGAGGAAUGGGUCACCCUUGACCCGCGCGACCCAAGCUUCCAAAUCGGCGGGUUUUCGCCAUUUCCGUCCAAAUUUCCGACGAAUUGAGUCAAGGUACCACUCCUAAUCAUCAUCUAGGCCUUCCCUCUUUACGUUUCACCCCAAGAAUCAUUGAAUUUCGUUGUGAUUUCGCGAAGAACACCCCUACGGGUGCCGCGACCCUUUUGUUUAAAUUCUCCAAAUUUUGAAAUGUUUUCUUUCAAUUACUAACACCUUUAGCAUUCCUUUAGGACCUAGAACAAAGCCCAAGAGGUAAUUGAGGCGUUGGAACAAGUUUGAAGGUCGAAUUGGAAACACCCAAAUUCUAGGGUUCUUCACGGUUUUGGUGAAAUUGAAGCACUUCCAGGCCAAAUUGGCCUUGGUCUCAGGUAUGAAAGUUGUUCUACUCAUUGAGAUCUUCAAAUCUGCAAAUUUUGGUAAUUUUUGGAAAUAGUUGAAUUUUCCGGCGAGCCGGGGCGGCCAACCGCCACCCGCGGCGGCCCGCGCGGCGGCGCGUGGCCAAUGGCCGCCAAUGUCAUUAUUAGCUUGUGAUUAAGGUUCUAGGUUCUGUUUUGAUAAUUGAUGGACGUAAAUUGAAUAAUUGAACCUAAGUUGGUUACGAUUCGGGGUUAGGUGAAAAUGUGAAUUGACGAUCCGACCGUUGGAUCGUCAUCAAACUUUGAUACGUUGUAAUACGUAAUAUUUGAGGAUUAUAGGAACUUACGGAUUGGGAAUCCGAUUUACGGAUAUUCCGGAAUUGGAAUUGUAAGUUCAUAAAAUAGAAUGUUAACCGUCACUUAGUUUUGGAAAUUGACGGAGAUCCGACCGUUGGAUGGUAACGAAAUUUUAGGAUGUUGUCCUAGAGGUAUAUUGUGGACCUCUGGAAGUUUCGGAUUUGAAAUCUGAAUUGCAGAUCAUCCGGAUCGAACUACGUAGUGACGUGUCUUAUAUAAGUUAUGUAUUCUAUCGGCAGGAUUUCUGAGGUUGGGUUUGAUUAUUGUUCUAGGCGCUAAUCUUCAUGACGCCUUGAUGUGUGGUGCUAGGGAGUUGUUGAGCGAACUCCAGGUGAGUGGGCAGUUUUGUUUUCGUAUUACCUUUAUACUAUAAAUUUUUCCCAGAAGAUGAAUUUAUACGAAAUUAUGUUUUGAAAAUGCCAUGCAUAGAAUUAUUUGGAAAAGGUGAAUUUCACAUGAGUUAUAUGAUUGAUAUAUGAUGCAUACAUGUUGCAUGGUGCUGUGGAGGCACAGGUAAGUCAGGUGAGUUCAUUAUUCAUUUAAUUGAUUGUUGAUAAGAUGUUUCAAGCUCAUAACCUGCACCCUAGGUGUUAGUGCUUAUUUUAUUCACCACACCGCACGCUCGCCUUGGAUCCAAGUAGGUGGAUGUCGUACAGACCAUGUGAGGGUUCCGACAUGCUAGUCGUAUAGAUCACUAGGCGUGAUUCCGACUAGUGGGUGAUCUUAGUUAUGCGCGCUGAUGAUUGAUGAGAGAAGCACUAGAGCGUAUUUUUACACCUUUCAUCGUACAGACUACCUUACGUAGUUCCGAGUGAUGUGCAGAGUAGGGCCGUAUAGGUCACUGUGGUGACUCCGGCUUAGUGAGAUAUUGAGCUAUUGAAUUAAUCGUAUAGGACCAACUGCAGGGUCUCCGAUUGAUUCCUUAUUUCACCUGAUUUAUAUUUUGAUUUAUGGCAUGGCAUGUUUUUCUUGAAAAAUGUUAAAGAUUUGGGAUUCAAGUUUUGAGAUUUCAUAUGGUUAUAUAUAUAUAUUUUUCUGAAAAGUGUUAAAGGUUUGAGAUUUGAGAUUUUUGCUUAUAUAUAUGUUUAUAUAUAUGCUAUUUUCUGGGAAAGUAUACAGGUUUUACGGUGAGGGGUUAGAAAUAUUUUAAAUGAAAAGUUUUCGAAAAACUUUGUUUUACUGACCCACUCAAUUUUGUUUUGCGCCCUCCAGGUUCAAGUUAGCAGAGCUUUGGUGGCCACGAGGAAUCCAACGGUGUUCUGACAGAAUUCACAAAAGUAGGACUCACCCUCGGGUGUGUCAUCUUAGUAAUUGGAAAUUUUUUUUAAAGCUUCUGAACUAUGUAAAUGGUUACGUCACUCUCACGUGACGGCCAGCACGCCCUCCUUCGGGACGGGGUGUGUCAUUAAGUCUAGUUGUUAUAAUGCUCAUCCGACUAUUAACUGAGCCUUUGCUUUGAAUUCGGUAUUAAGCCAAGUUUAGCAUUUUAAUAGUAUAAUUAUAAUAAUAAAGUACCUUGAAUAUGGAAGUCAUCAACAACUAAAGCACACACUUGUUUAAUUUGUAUGAACACUGUAUAUUAUUGUUUUUGUAGACCCUGUCAACCACAACCAGUAAGAAUAUAUUAUCCUAGACACCUAACUAUAACUAGCAUAAAAAGAAGAUUAGCCUAUAUUUCUAACUAUAACUAGCAUAACAAGAAU
rnacentral:lncRNA from 1 species